UACGAAGGGGGCUAGCGUUGUUCGGAAUCACUGGGCGUAAAGGGCGCGUAGGCGGCUUUGUAAGUCGGGGGUGAAAGCCUGUGGCUCAACCACAGAAUUGCCUUCGAUACUGCAUGGCUUGAGACCGGAAGAGGUAAGUGGAACUGCGAGUGUAGAGGUGAAAUUCGUAGAUAUUCGGAAGAACACCAGUGGCGAAGGCGGCUCACUGGACCGGCAUUGACGCUGAUGUGCGAAAGCGUGGGGAGCAAACAGG
rnacentral:rRNA from 1 species